rnacentral:rRNA from 1 species
GGUUAAGCGACUAAGCGUACACGGUGGAUGCCCUGGCAGUCAGAGGCGAUGAAGGGCGUGCUAAUCUGCGAUAAGCGCCGGUAAGGUGAUAUGAACCGUUAUAACCGGCGAUACCCGAAUGGGGAAACCCAGUGUGACUCGUCACACUAUCAUUAACUGAAUCCAUAGGUUAAUGAGGCGAACCGGGGGAACUGAAACAUCUAAGUACCCCGAGGAAAAGAAAUCAACCGAGAUUCCCCCAGUAGCGGCGAGCGAACGGGGAGGAGCCCAGAGCCUGAAUCAGCAUGUGUGUUAGUGGAAGCGUCUGGAAAGGCGCGCGAUACAGGGUGACAGCCCCGUACACAAAAGCGCAUGUGCUGUGAGCUCGAUGAGUAGGGCGGGACACGUGGUAUCCUGUCUGAAUAUGGGGGGACCAUCCUCCAAGGCUAAAUACUCCUGACUGACCGAUAGUGAACCAGUACCGUGAGGGAAAGGCGAAAAGAACCCCGGCGAGGGGAGUGAAAAAGAACCUGAAACCGUGUACGUACAAGCAGUGGGAGCACAGGUUUACCUGUGUGACUGCGUACCUUUUGUAUAAUGGGUCAGCGACUUAUAUUCUGUAGCAAGGUUAACCGUAUAGGGGAGCCG